CUGAGUGGCAGGCGUCGAGCAGGUGGCCUCGGCUACGUGCGUUUCUGCGAUUCAUCUCGUCGUUCGGCGGCGGCGGCGGAUAUAAGCGUCCAGUGGGUUGACGGCGGUCGGACUGUCGGCGGCAAUCGGCAUCAUUUCGUGGGAGGACAGCUGGAUUCUAGCAGCAACCUGAGCAUGGACUCGCCUUGUUGCCGCGGCUGGAGAAGCGGCAGCUCGUACGUGUUCGUCUCCGGAUUGGAUCGAGUAGGCGGACUUCCUGCGAUCUCGUUCUCCACCAGUACCUGAGGUCUCAGACCUCCACUAGCCGCUGAAAUCGACCUCGACCUCUGUACCUUGAGCUCCAACCUUCGACCCGACUUGAAGAUCCGGUUCAAGUUCUCCAACCUUCAGCUGCCUCCCAAGGAAUCUCAUAAGAAAUCGAGAGACGGAAGAUGUAUGCAAGGUACUUGGAGAUGACGAGCAAGUAUCUAGAGGCACAAAAAAACAAAACAUUCGCCAUUGAGAGGAGAAUGCCUAGCAAUUAUUUGACAAUUGGAAAAAAACAGCAUCACGUCUAUCACUCGAGAGGCACAAGGGAAUUUCCAGCUGAUUUAAUUGUACAGAUGAUUGCGCGAAUUGAAUUAUUAAUCUUGAUGUAAAUGUCAUACGGUGUAGCUUUGUACUUAUCACUCCUGAACAUACAUUACUCGCCAUGGUGAUGUUGGUAUUUUUCUGUGUGGUGUUAUUAUGCCAAACAAUAUUUCGUUUCUUUUUUUACAGAUGCAUCAAGAUUUAUGUGAUUUCAAAAUUAUGUGGCAGUUUAUGAGCAAA